UACGUAGGGUGCAAGCGUUACUCGGAAUUACUGGGCGUAAAGCGUGUGUAGGCGGCGCGUUAAGUGCAACGCGAAAUCCUGUGGCUCAACCAUAUGGACUGUGUUGCAUACUGGCGUGCUUGAGGAUGGCAGAGGCAAGUGGAAUUUGUAGUGUAGCAGUGAAAUGCGUAGAUAUUACAAGGAACACCAAUGGCGAAGGCAGCUUGCUGGGCCAUAUCUGACGCUGAGACACGAAAGCGUGGGGAGCGAACAGG
rnacentral:rRNA from 1 species